GGUGGAUGAUUUGCUUUUGGCCACCCCGAGUGUUUAGACUUGUAAGAUUGCUCUUCUUCACUUGCUAGAAUUGCUGAGCACCCUGGGUUAUAGGGUCUCAGCCAAGGAAGCACAGCUCCACACCCCGUCCGUCACCUAUCUGGGCUAUGAGCUGGAAGUGGGUGUGAGGAAACUCUCCCGUGUCCGGAUUCAGGCUAUCCUCAGUAUCCCCAUGCCCAGAACCAAGCAGCAGGUGCGGGAGUUUGGGGCAUGGUGGGAUACUGUAGGCUUUGUAUUCCAGAAUUUGCUGAGAUUGCUAAGCCACUGUAUGCAGCUAUGAAAACCUGGAGUGAACGGAGGACUGUCAGUGAGCCUUCAAUCAACUGAAAGUGGCCAUGGCAAUAGGGAGACAUGGAAAGUCUUUGAGUAAAGGAGCUAACAUGACUGUAAGGAAGAUUAAGUAGGAUUUUUGCAUGCAGAAAAGAUUGAAGAAAAGAUAGACUGAAUGCAAGGAAACCAGGGCCAAGAGGAAUACUAACACUGGCAACUGCAGGAGAACAGGAAAGAGCCCAGAGCCCAGAUCAGUCACCAGCAAUGACUAUAUCUCUCCAGAUCACACCAUCUUGGAAGCACUGAAAACUUGCAGAUGCCCAGAACUAGCUCUGAAAAAAGCAGCAAAUGUGGUCUAUAUGGGGUCAAGUUGGGGCUGGUUGGAGCAUUAUAACUGGCAAUAGAAUUAAACCUGUUACUUGAUUUAUUAUCAUAUUGAUAUGUAUAAGUAAAUAUUU